GUCUCGAACUUCUGGCCUCAAGUGAUUUGCUUACCUUGGCCUCCGGAGUGCUGGGAUUACAGGCAUGAGCCACUGCGCCCGGCCUGUCCACUUCUCAGUGUCACCUUGAGAAUACUAUUUCUGAGGAGAAGCACCUCUACAUGUGCCCAGAAAGACUGGAACAGCUACGCAUUAAAUGUUAGGGGUCUGGGUGGGGCCUGUCUCUGCCGUGUGUGUGUGUGUGUUUGUGUGUGUGUGUUACACAUGUGCUCUUGGAUGUGACAGCCAUGUCCUGUUCUUGUUUACACAUAACAGUUUGCCACGUGUCAAGUGGGAGCUGAAGGAUGUGCUGCACCCGUUCCUGGACCUGGGAUACACAGGAAGGUGCAGCAAGCGUUCUUUUCGGAAGUUCUACAAUCACCGUGAUUGGUUUUAUGUGGACAAAUAUAAAAAAGAAGGCCUAGCUUCCCUCUCCGUAGUGGUGUCGGGUGAAGGCAGGGGUCUGGGUCGGCUCCUGGUCGACCUUGCCUGCUACGUGGGCUGGUCCCACCUCCCCCACCGCAACGCCCCCGGCACCCCGGGUCCCCAAUUCCAGGCCACAGCUGUGGAGCCAUUAGCGGGCUGCGCGUUGCGCAGGUACCGACUCGCGCCGGGAGGGGGCGCUGUUCCCUAACCUGUUCCGAGUCGGCCCCGGGUCCUGACACCGCCCGCGCGCGUUCACGCUGCAGGUGCGGAGUUCUCGCAGUGGGCUCGGGAUGGGCAGAAUCGGCCGUCCUCGCAGCCCGCCGCCCGGGGCGACCCGCGGCCCCCACCUGCCACCGCACUCGGGAGGGUCAGACCGCACGCAGGUCAGACCUCCAUUCUUCCUGAUGAAAUAAUGAAGACGCUGUCAUCCUGAGGGUUGAUACUGUACCCACAGGCUGUGGGAAGGACAUCACAAACGCAGGCAGAGGGCCUGCCACAGGCACUGAGAGCCUGCUCAGCAAAGAGAAAAUACACUGCAGCGAGGCGGGACCUUCUAGCCAGGACUCCGUGGCCCCGGCUCUCCUCUCCAGUCACAAUGGGACAGGCUCCCCAGCCUCAGGGGAGCUGAGUGGGUGCUGAGCUGAGCCCUGAGCUGGGCCCAGAGACGACCUCCUGACCUCGCCAGCCCCAGGGCAUCAGUGUCUGGAUCCUUGUGAGCAUCCUAGGAUGGCCUGGGGGUGAAAGGGGAACCCCUAUUGAAUUGUCUGGGGCAUGCGGUUGCGUCUGUCACCCCUGAUUUCAUCUAAACUGUGCCUGUAUCUGGGAGGUUUUACGGAGACUAGUGGGGACAAUGGGGGAUCAAAGCAGCCGCACUGGAACGGGACUUCCCUAACCUACCCACCACCCAUAUCUGGGAGAACCUCUGGGAAACCAGUGAGGUCUCAGGCAGAAAGUCAGCCAGUUCUUGGCACAAGAGUGCCUAGAAAUGUAAAGAUGGAUACAUUCAUUAUUUCAACAAACCUGCAUUGAAUCUGAAAGGCCUGGGAAUAAAACUCAGGCAAGAGCAAA